UCUGAAUAUAACUUUGAUGCCAUUAGGCGUUGAGCAC
rnacentral:other from 1 species